rnacentral:rRNA from 1 species
UACGUAGGGACCGAGCGUUGUCCGGAUUCAUUGGGCGUAAAGAGCUCGUAGGCGGCUGCUCAAGUCGAAUGUGAAAACUCGAGGCUCAACCUCGAGCCUGCAUUCGAUACUGGGCGGCUAGAGUCUGGUAGGGGGAUCUGGAAUUCCUGGUGUAGCGGUGGAAUGCGCAGAUAUCAGGAAGAACACCCGUGGCUAAGGCGGUUCUCUAGUACGGUACUGACGCUGAGACGCGAAAGCGUGGGGAGCGAACAGG